rnacentral:rRNA from 1 species
UACGAAGGGGGCUAGCGUUGUUCGGAAUUACUGGGCGUAAAGGGCGCGUAGGCGGCGUGUCAAGUCAGGCGUGAAAGCCCCGGGCUCAACCUGGGAACCGCGCUUGAGACUGGCAUGCUCGAGUUCGGGAGAGGAUGGUGGAAUUCCCCAGUGUAGAGGUGAAAUUCGUAGAUAUUGGGAAGAACACCGAUGGCGAAGGCAGCCAUCUGGACCGACACUGACGCUGAGGCGCGAAAGCGUGGGGAGCAAACAGG